rnacentral:rRNA from 1 species
GUACGGGAGGCAGCAGUAAGGAAUAUUGGUCAAUGGACGCAAGUCUGAACCAGCCAUGCCGCGUGAAGGAUGAAGGUCCUCUGGAUUGUAAACUUCUUUUAUAUGGGACGAAACCCUCGGAUUCUUCUGAGAUUGACGGUACCAUAGGAAUAAGCACCGGCUAACUCCGUGCCAGCAGCCGCGGUAAUACGGAGGGUGCAAGCGUUAUCCGGAUUCACUGGGUUUAAAGGGUGCGUAGGAGGGCAGGGAAGUCAGUGGUGAAAUCUCCGGGCUUAACUCGGAAACUGCCGUUGAUACUCUCUGUCUUGAAUACCGUGGAGGUGAGCGGAAUAUGUCAUGUAGCGGUGAAAUGCUUAGAUAUGACAUAGAACACCAAUUGCGAAGGCAGCUCGCUACACGAAUAUUGACUCUGAGGCACGAAAGCGUGGGGAUCAAACAGGAUUAGAUACCCUGGU